rnacentral:rRNA from 1 species
AUACGGAGGAUCCGAGCGUUAUCCGGAUUUAUUGGGUUUAAAGGGUGCGCAGGCGGGAGAUUAAGUCGGCGGUGAAAUUUUGCAGCUCAACUGUAAAAGUGCCUUUGAAACUGGUUUUCUUGAGUGUAGAUGAAGUCGGCGGAAUUUGUGGUGUUGCGGUGAAAUGCAGAGAGAUCACGAAGAACUCCGAUUGCGCAGGCAGCUUACUAACCUACUACUUACACGCAGGCACGAAGGCGUGAGGAUCAAACAGGAUUAGAUGCCCUGCUAGUCUACGCAGUAAACGAUGAUUGCUAGCUGUUUACGAUACAAUAUAAACGGUUGAGCGAAAGCAAUAAGUAAAACCCCUGGGGAGUACGUUCGCAACGAUGAAGCUCACAUGAAUUGACUGGA